UCUGGGAAACUGCCUGAUGGAGGGGGAUAACUACUGGAAACGGUAGCUAAUACCGCAUAACGUCGCAAGACCAAAGAGGGGGACCUUCGGGCCUCUUGCCAUCGGAUGUGCCCAGAUGGGAUUAGCUUGUUGGUGGGGUAACGGCUCACCAAGGCGACGAUCCCUAGCUGGUCUGAGAGGAUGACCAGCCACACUGGAACUGAGACACGGUCCAGACUCCUACGGGAGGCAGCAGUGGGGAAUAUUGCACAAUGGGCGCAAGCCUGAUG
rnacentral:rRNA from 1 species